GUCUAUGUGGCAUGGGAUACCACUUGUGAAAGACUUUGUACACUGUGUUAUAAUGCUCAAAUUGCUGAUGAGUAUUAGUAUAUUCUAGAAUGUAAAGCAUUAAUUGAUAUAAGAAAAGAUUACCUGUGCAAUUAUUACUCCCAAAGACCUUAUGUUAUUAAAUUUACAGAACUAAUGUCAACUCAAAAAGAUUUUUUUUUUUUUUAAAUUCUGUUUAUUUUGAAAAUUGAUGAUGUUGUCUGUCCUCCUCGAUUCCCAGAUUUCUAUUUUACUUCUUGUCAUGUCUCUUUUUAUUAUAUUGUAGCUCUGAAAAGUUUUAUUUAUCAGUGUACAUGUGUUACUAUUGUACCUCAUGUAACAAUAAUAUUAAUGAUUUGAGAGAAUAAAGUGAACUGUACGUGCUUGUCUGUGGACAGCUGUGUGCAUCCAUCAUCCAUGGAUAACACACAGAGACACUAACAGAUUGAUGUGCUUUUAAAGGUAUAACCAGAUCACUCAUAUUUGUAGAAAACCAUUAUGUCGAUCACAUGCAGCAUCUACUCACGAAUGAUUGUGUGCAGUCAUGGAUACAUCAUACAAACAACUUAGAAUGGAACAGACCAGAAUUCAAAUGUGGGCCUCCUGAAUCUGUAGUUUGUUACAGGGGCUGGUCUAAGGCAACAAAUGUAGCAGGGAGAAAGAAAAUGGCUAAUGGCCAUCAAACCUGACUGACCACACUAGAUGAUUGGCAUUCAAGAGCUGAUUAAAUUUUGAGGUGAUAUCAGUGGAUGAAAUUUAAAUUAUGUGUUUUGAUGAACUAGUAUUAAAAACAACCAACUUUCUGGACUGGCCAUCAACCAGGCAACACAUACUAUUAAUCUGUUUCCCAGUUUCUUAUUUUUAUUUCCUACAGUUGUACAAAGAUCACUCAAGAAUUUUAGUUGACCGAUGAUGCACAGUAUAAGCCUAUCAUGCUCAAAUGAGCUAGAUCCUUGCUGAUUUCUGUGGAAACGAGGGGGUUAUUUAUCUUCUGCAGAGAUUUAUCUAGGUUGUUUUUACUACCGGUAAAAGGCACCUUUCCCCUUUGGCUAUAAAUGGAUAUUUCCCCUUCCACAGUUAAAAAAUCCCCUUCAUUUGUAGAAACUUUACAAAAUUGUAUGAGAAUUUUCAACAAAAUCAUUUCAAUAUUUCAACAUUUCAAUAUAUUCUGUCAUUUUCUAUAAUUGUCAGACUUACAAAAUGAGUAUGCAAAUAUAUAUAUGCAAAAUAUAAAAAAUGAUAAAAUGAGUAAUCAAUCUAUUUAUAUUCCAUGGAUGUCCCCCACCACCAUCCCCUGGAAGCUCAUGACUGCAUCCUCAAAGAUUCCCCUUAAAUAUAAAAUGGGUAGUAAUUAACAUCUAUAAUUGCUGGAUAAAACCCUGUUCUGAGGGGGAUAGGAAAGACCGAAUAUAAGUAACCCCCUCGUUUCCAGAAAUUAGAUCCUUGCCUUCCUGUAUCAUGCUUUAAAAUAAGGAUGUUUAAAAGUGGUGUAUUUUCUAAAAUUUUGUAAACUAGACAGAUGUUUAUCAAGUGUCACUCUGCACUCAGAUUCCGGAUGUUUUACAUCUGUGGGCAAAAUCUUAAAAGGCGGAGGGGACAUCACUCAUACAAUUUGUCAGAAGUUUCUAUUUUCUUUACAUUCGUUGUAAACUCUUGUCAUAACUUGUCAUGUGUGUCACUGACUUGACACACUUUAAAACAGUAACAUUUAAGAUUAAAAAGGAAAUAAAAACAGUAUCUUAAACUCCCAAUGUUGUGAAUGACAUUUAUAAUUCAAACUUCCUGUCGUGUUGCUUAUACAGGACUAGUAUGAAGUUUGUAAACAACUUUUUCUUUUUCUCUAAAGUUUUAUAUUUAAAGUCUUAAAGUUUCUGAAUUCUUAAAAAAAACCCAACUAAUUCUCCUGUACUCACCGCUGAUUGAAUGUUCGUUUUACAGCUUCAUGGGACAUGAAUACACGGAGCUCUUCUGCACUUCCAGUAACUUAUCCUAGUUGAACGACCUACCAUACACACAGUCCAUGACGUCAC